rnacentral:rRNA from 1 species
CCUACGGGAGGCUGCAGUGGGGAAUAUUGGACAAUGGGCGCAAGCCUGAUCCAGCAAUACCGCGUGUGUGAAGAAGGCCUUAGGGUUGUAAAGCACUUUCAAUGGGGAGGAAAACCUACCGGUCAAUACCCGGUAGCUUGACAUUACCUGUAGAAGAAGCACCGGCUAACUCCGUGCCAGCAGCCGCGGUAAUACGGAGGGUGCAAGCGUUGAUCGGAGUUACUGGGCGUAAAGCGUGAGGAGACAUGUCAAAGCCCCGGGCUUAACCUGGGAACGGCAUUUGAAACUGGCGGACUAGAGUUGAGUAGAGGGGAGUGGAAUUUCAGGUGUAGCGGUGAAAUGCGUAGAUAUCUGAAGGAACACCAGUGGCGAAGGCGACUCCCUGGACUCAAACUGACGCUGAGGUACGAAAGCGUGGGGAGCAAACAGGAUUAGAUACCCUAGUAGUC